UAUCAAUUGCAAUUUUCUCUUAAGAUUGCAUGCAGCUUUGUUUUCAUGUUAUUUUCGGAAAUUGCGUAUUGCGUUGGUUGGUGUUGUUUGUUGCUAUUUUUUGAAGGUUUGGUUACUUUACAGUUUAUAUCACAGUGAAGAUUAAGCAACAAAGUUGUGCUUUUUUGUUUGUAAUCAUUGCUAAUAUUCUAAGCUUGUUUGUGAAAUUCACAUGUGCUAGUUUGAGGCAUGUGCAUGAGUAGUACCUUGCUUUAUGUGUGUUUUGUAAGAUGAAGUAGUUUAUGAAACUUUAUGUUGCAGCAAGCCGUUUGUGUUUGUGAUGAAGACUGAAUAAAAGGGUUCAGUUUUCUAUGAAGUCAAACAAAUCACGGAGGUGGCCAAUCACAGAAAAGACUCUCUUGUUUGAUGGGAAAACCAAGUUUGAAGAUCAAAAGACUGCCUUUAAUGGCAGUUGCAUGUACAGUAAUGUUGUUCGUUGUAUAUAGGACUUUAAAGUAUCAAAACUCAAGAAGAGGUAUGUCAUAGUCUGUCUCUUAGAAACUCUCAUCCAAGUAACAUUGAGAAGGAACUUACUGAAGAAAGGAACACCCUUAUGCAUUCUAAUGCUUCAGCUUUCAAACGGAUAAUGACUGAGGAAUUUGGCUACCGAAAAAAGUGGAAACAAAUGCAAAGAGAAGUUUGAGAAUUUGUACAAGUAUUACGAGAAAACAAAGGAAGGUAAGGCUAGUAGACAAGAUGCUAAACACUACAGAUUCUUUAGGCAGCUUGAAGCAAUAUGUGGAGAAUCAAAUACAAACACCAAUGCUACUCAAACUCCAAGCUUCACAAUGAAUCAAGAAAAUGUUAAUGUGUGUUGAGGAUCAUAGUUUGAUCAAUAGCCUAAAGUACAUAUAAGAUAGUCUAAUGAGUUUCAACAUGUAAGUUGGACCCACUUUUUCAUUUUUUUUUUCAAUCUAAAUUUGCAAAUUGUAACAGUUCUUAA